rnacentral:rRNA from 1 species
UGAGGAAUAUUGGUCAAUGGGUGCAAGCCUGAACCAGCCAUCCCGCGUGAAGGACGACUGCCCUAUGGGUUGUAAACUUCUUUUGUAUAGGGAUAAACCUACCCUCGUGAGGGUAGCUGAAGGUACUAUACGAAUAAGCACCGGCUAACUCCGUGCCAGCAGCCGCGGUAAUACGGAGGGUGCAAGCGUUAUCCGGAUUUAUUGGGUUUAAAGGGUCCGUAGGCGGACUUAUAAGUCAGUGGUGAAAGCCUGUCGCUUAACGAUAGAACUGCCAUUGAUACUGUAAGUCUUGAGUAUAUUUGAGGUAGCUGGAAUAAGUAGUGUAGCGGUGAAAUGCAUAGAUAUUACUUAGAACACCGAUUGCGAAGGCAGGUUACCAAGAUAUAACUGACGCUGAGGGACGAAAGCGUGGGGAGCGAACA